AGCGAACGCUGGCGGCAGGCCUAACACAUGCAAGUCGAGCGGGCAAAGCAAUCUGUCUGCGGCAGACGGGUGAGUAACGCGUGGUAACGUACCUUUUGGUUCGGAACAACACAGGGAAACUUGUGCUAAUAGCGGCUAAGCCCGCACGGGGAAAGAUUUAUCGACGGAAGAUCGGUCGGCGCCGGAUUAGCUAGUUGGUGAGGGAUUGGCUCACCUAGGGGACGAUCAGUAGCCGUGCCGAGGGGACGAUCUGCCACAUUGUGAGUGAGACACGGGGCGAACACCUUCGGGAGUCAGCGGAAGGGUAUAUUAGACAAGGGGCGCGAGUCUGAACGAGCCAUGGCGUGUGAGGGAUGAAGGCCCUGGGGUUGUAAAAGUCUUUUGAGCGGGAGCUUAAUGACCGUACCGAAAGAAUAAGCCCCGGCUAACUUCGGGG
rnacentral:rRNA from 1 species